GACAGAGGGUGCGAACGUUGUUCGGAAUUACUGGGCGUAAAGCGCGUGUAGGCGGCAACGCAAGUCGGGCGUGAAAUCCCACGGCUCAACCGUGGAAGUGCACUCGAAACUGCGUAGCUAGAGUCCUGGAGAGGAAGGUGGAAUGCUUGGUGUAGAGGUGAAAUUCGUAGAUAUCAAGCGGAACACCGGUGGCGAAGGCGGCCUUCUGGACAGUGACUGACGCUGAGACGCGAAAGCGUGGGGAGCGAUCCGG
rnacentral:rRNA from 1 species